UGUGUACCUGGAGGAAGGCAGAAGACAGCUGGUACCAUGCUCUAGCCUUGUGAGGGAAGACUGCGAGAUGGACAUUUGUGACGUACAAGGACAAGCCACUCGGCAUUUGAGAAGCAGAUAAAUGGUAACAAUCACCUCCCCUCAAAGCUAUCCUUUGUCAUUUCCUAACAGUUUUUAUCUCAGAAUCUCGAGGUAUUUCAUAGCAAUUGUUAGUCAAAAGGUGACCGGUCAUUUUGGGUGUUCACAAGUUUUCAGAAAAUAUUAAAGCACUUCCCUUAGCAAAUUAAGUUUCUAGGGGUGGUCUGAAGAACUGAGGACACAAAACAACACCACUCACUCCCUGAGACCUAUACACCCGUGGGACGAAACACCUGAAGGUAAAUAUGGGCCUACUCAUUUUGGAGGGACACUGUAAUGAAGCAAGUGAUUUGAAAAUAAGCAAUAGUUUAGAAUUAGUUUAGCAAUAGAAAUAAAAUCCAAAUAGUGCUUUAAACCAAGUAGAUAAGCUGUCCAUUUUCCUUGUCCGUAAGAAGGAUUUUUAGGUCUCUUAAACUGGAAAAGGAAACUUACAGCUAAUACAGCCUGAUUAACAGAAUACUGAAUUCCAUUCUCAUUUAUAAGUUCAGUGUUGUCAAGCGCUUAAUUUAGUGAAAUACUGACAGUUUCCUGUUGCUUCAAAACUGUGCCAGGCUGAAUGGCAUUGUGCUUAUUCUCUGCCCUUAGAAAAGAUCAGAUGCUGCCUGGGGGCACAGAAAGUGGCGCAGAGACGGUGCUCUGCCCUGCGCCAUCCAGAACAGAGAACCAGUUGUUUACAGCUGGAUUAUUUCUACAGUAAGUCCUAAUUCAGCAAUCUUUCUGAUCCCGACACAACAUCGAUCAGGUAUGUUCUUUCCCCACUGUUACUAGAUCAACACAUCUGUGCACCAAUUCAGAAGUUUCUGCUGAAAGAAAUCUCAUUAUGGAUGAACUACUCCGAUCAAUUCUCAGCCCAACACCUGCCUGAGAUGUUUCAAAUUUAGUUAGGUGGAGUACAGCUUCUCUAUUGGUUUGCUAAUCAAAAAUAAACAGUUAAGAGACUCAUAAGAAAAAUAAAACAACAGUUCAAUAUUGUGCCCGCCUGUAUUUUAUUUAAAGCUUAAGUAUCAGCCUCUGAUAGGAUGAGGGGCUCUCUAUAAAGCCCUCUAUAAAGCCCAGAUAAUCAGAAGCAAAGGCACCUCUGUAAUUCACAGAAAGCAGGAAGGACAAAAAAGGUUGGCAUUUCAAGAUCCCCUUUUCUUGGAAGGAUCCCUGGCCAGAAUUGAUCUGCUCAGAUCUAUCUGAGGCACAGGACAGAAGAGCAUCUUCACUGAUCAGAAGCAGUGGGCAAAAAAAGGUGUUUAUUAAUUGAGUAUCCAAGAAUUGUUCUAAUCCCAGAAAAUUUCACCAAAGAAUGAAUUAUUAAAUGUAACUGCUACCUAAAGAGACUUUAUUUGUUCUCCCAGGUGAAAAAUAACCAAUUUAUUAUGUUCCGUUGCUACAAUUUUGAUUCCUUAAGCUUAAAGGUCUCCUUUGAAUCAGGAACAGAGAGAUUUAUUUUCUCUACUAAGAAGUUAUAUUCACUGCAAAUAAACCAACAUUUCACCGCAUAAAAGGUUUGAUGCUAAGUCCAAGUAAUGUUCUAUAGAGGUAAUGCACUACCUGCUCCCAGUGGUACAGACAGAGUGGUAAACUUUCCAGGCCUUUCCAGCUUUGACACGAGAUUUACUUUUAGAAACCGGAGCGGGGCCUGAGGGUCAUUUUGCACCACUCAAGGUGCCAACUUGAAUACGUACAUUGUGCACAUGUGUGCACGCUCUCUGCAGGUUCCAAGUUCAUCUGCACGAGAGACCUCGAGGUAUAACAGCAGGAGGUAACAAGAACUGGUCAUACUGUCCUAAUAACAACACAAAACUUGGUUUCCUAAGGGAAAAAAAAAACGCAUACUUGCAUUCCUCUGUUCCCAAAUCUUCAAAUUAGAUGCAGGGCUAAAGAAUAAAAGGACUCCACAUGGUAAGCGAGAAACUGAAGCAUUCACAGCAUGAAUGCUAGGAGAAUUUUGGCUAAGAACAUCUUUUUCAAGGGCUUCUCAGCUACUGUCAGAACUUAAGAGAAACAAACAACCACCAUCCUGGCAGAAAACUGCCUCGCUUCUUUUCUAAUUAGCAAGGGCUCCCCACAUCUAAAGAGUACAAAGGAAUACGUAUUGCUCUGUAUUGCGUGAAGAUUUGCUGCUUAACGUUUGGAUAGGGCAAGAUUUUUAAAAAGUCUUUAAUAAACCAGAAAUUCUCUCAUAGACAGACUGAAAUACACAAGGAAAGUGGCACACUGAAGCAGAGGAGAAGGAACAGGUGAAGGCAGCAGCAAGGUAACACGUUCCUCUCCUAACACAGAGCUGAAUUGGAGCGAUGCUGUUCAACUUGGCACUAAAGAGACGGGGGUCCCCUUCAUGCUCCUGUCUGAACUGAGCCGGCAAAGAAAUCCAACUCAAGCUCAGCUUCUUCACUCCGUCACAGAAUUGCCCAGCCCUCGCAGAGAAAUCACUCGCUCAUCAAGACUGUUCUCAUCACUCGCUGCCCAGAUCCCCUGGGGUUGCGUCUGCAUGGCUGGCUGAAGACAGAACCAGCUUUGCUCCUUCUGCACUUGGAGAUGCCCAGGCACAUGUUACAUUUGACAGGAUUCAAAGAUGUUUUUCUGUGGGUAACAAACACUCAUACUUCUGACAGUAAAUAUCAACAGGAAAGAGUCCCAGGAGCUUUCCCAAGGGCUAUGAGCUCUUAUCCAUCAGGCUGUAAAGCAACUCCUAAUUCAAAUGGGAGGGAUGUUGUUCCCUCAAAGAGCUGAUUACAUAACAGAUAAGUGCUCUGCAGCUCUAAAAUCUCCCUAUUUUUUUUCCAAGUGUGGUGCUGUCAGGGAAUAAGUAGGCUACUGGGUCAGAUGGAUGCAGGGUCUGCUCCAACAGGUAGGUUCUUCAGAACGCUGCAGAAUUAUGAAGCCUAGGGGGCAACUCUCUUCCAUUUUGACAAGUUUUCUACAUCCCUAGAGAUUUUACAUUUCCAGCUGCUCACCUCACCACAGACUCCAGAUGCACCCAUCACAGAACUUGACAUUUUGUGGGAUAACAUUUCCUCUAAAUGCACUGAUAACACUGCAAACACAAUUCUCCUGUCACCGACUAGGGAGAAGAAUGAACACAACUUCACAGUCUGAGGUGCUAUGCUAUUGUAAAUUCAUUAGUUAUACCUCAUUUGGACCACUGAAGUAAUUACAUAAAACCUCUCACAUAGUACUUUAAACCCUUUAAAUAUUCUUUAUAACCAAACAGCAAGAGUAAUUCCACAAAGGUAAUUUUCAUAAAUAUCACUGUAAACUAUAUGAGGGACUGUUCUAAUUACCUUUUGCAAGCUGGCAUGAGAAAUGUCUUGGUGCCACUAUUCGUAAGCCUCUAAAUGACCUGGCACAAAGUUACUUAAAAGAACAAAUUAAUUUUCAAUUCAGACGUCCAUUCGCAGACCUGUAGGUCAAACACUAAUAAAUGUGUUUGCUCUAACUCAUAAUACAACAGGCUCAAUUCUAGAGUGUGUUAUACUCACACUGGUACAAACAGGACUAAUCUCCCACAGCUACUGGGGCCAAACUAGCACAAAUAAAUCUACAUCAAAGAAAA